CCGAGCUCAAAAAACACAAUGGAUUUUCAGGCUCAAAUUCUCCCCUUUCUACUGCUCUGUGUCACAGUGUCCAAUGGACAAAUUGUGCUCACCCAGACUCCAGCAUCCCUGGCUGCUUCUCCAGGGGAGAAGGUCACCAUCACCUGCAUAGUCAGGUCCAGUGUAAGCAUUAACUAUUUGCACUGGUACCAACAAAAGGCAGGAGCCUCUCCCAAGCUCCUAAUUUAUGAAAAAUCAGAGCUGGCCUCGGGAGUCCCAGCUCGCUUCAGUGGGAGUGGGUCAGGGACUUCUUUCUCUCUCACAAUCAGCAACGUGGAGGCUGAAGAUGUUGCAACCUAUUACUGUCAGCAGUAUAGCAGUUAUCCACCCACAGUGAUGCAGACCACAACAAAAACCCCAUUCGCUCCUCAGGGCCCAGUUGCUUCUUGCUCAGGGUCUAUGACAGAAACUCCUGAUUGUCUUCUGCUGGGGCCAAGGGUGUAUGGCUUCCUACAAAUUGAAGCAAUACGUAGGGAUGUGAAAGAUGCGAUGAGGUGA